rnacentral:lncRNA from 10 species
CUCAGCUUCCGGAGCAGCUGGGACUGCUGGCGCCCGCCACUACGCUCGGCUAAUUUUUUUGUGUUUUUAGUAGAGACGGGCUUUCACCGUGUUGGCCUAGCGGUUCUCCAACUCCUGACCUCAUGAUCCCCCCGCCUCAGCCUCCCAAAGUGCUGGGAUUACAAGCGUGAGCCACCGCGACCCGCCAACACUCUUGACAACAGUGCUGUGCUAAGAACUUGGGGGACUUCAAAAAGUUCACCAGUUCCUGUGUCCAUGGUACACCUUCUUGAGGCUUACUUGAAUAUAACGUCAGGAGGCCAGAGGCUUUGUCCUGCCUAAUGUGUUAUUUCCACACUGAAUAAAAGCACCUGAGUCCUGGUAAGUCUAAUUUGCUAGGUGUGGCAAUAUGACCAGUGAAAAACAACAAGGGCAGCAUUUCCUGCAGUUCGGUGGCACAGUAUGGUUCAAAGAGGUAUAAAAGGAAGUCACAGGCAUUUUAAAAAGGUUGUACAUCUAGCAAUACCUAACAAAAUAGGAAAUCAACUUGGAAAGCCAAUGGCUGUGUUUUGAGUUUAUGGAGAGCCAUAUGUGGCAAGGAACUGAGGGUGGCAUCCAGGCAACAGACUUCAAGAAACUGAGGCUGUCAGUCCAACAACCCACAAGAACUGAAUCUGACCAACAAUCACAGGAACAAACUUAGAAGUAUACUCUUUCCCAGACAAACCUUCAGAUGAGACCACAGCCCCAGCCAUAAGCUUGAAAACAAUCUCAUGAGGGACCUUGAGCCACAGGCAUGUAGUAAAGCUAUGCCAGGAAUCCUGCCUGCCCCACAGAAAAUGUAAAAAAAAUAAAUUUUUAUUGUUUUAAGCCACGAAGUUUUGAAGUAAUUUGAUAUAAAAC